CUACGGGGUGCUGCAGUAGGGAAUUUUGCGCAAUGGGGGAAACCCUGACGCAGCGACGCCGCGUGAGUGAAGAAGGCCUUCGGGUUGUAAAGCUCUGUCAGAAGGGAAGAAUAAUUGGAGUUAAAUAGGCUCACAAGAUGACGGUACCUUCAGAGGAAGCACCGGCUAACUCUGUGCCAGCAGCCGCGGUAAUACAGAGGGUGCAAGCGUUAUUCGGAAUUACUGGGCGUAAAGAGCAUGUAGGUGGGAUAUCAAGUCAGGUGUGAAAUCCCGGGGCUCAACCUCGGAACUGCAUUUGAAACUGGUAUUCUUGAGUUCGGGAGAGGGAAGUGGAAUUCCAGGUGUAGAGGUGAAAUUCGUAGAUAUCUGGAGGAACAUCGGAGGCGAAGGCGGCUUCCUGGUCCGAAACUGACACUGAGAUGCGAAAGCGUGGGUAGCAAACAGGAUUAGAUACCCUCGUAGUC
rnacentral:rRNA from 1 species